CGUGACUAGACUCCAAUGGAGAACUUGUGAGAUCCCUUCUUCUUUAAGUGCACCCAGGUACUGUUGGCAAUGUAGAGCUCCUGGUACCCAUCUCUUAACCUUCAGACGGAUUUCAGGAAGAACUUUCAAUAGCUGGAAUAGGGUACUACUCCCUCAAGAAUGUGGAGGACACAUCUGCAAUAGCCAUUUGAUUUACCUGCUUGCUACUGGCACCUAAGCACGAGUGAAGAGAAAUUUCUUACCUUGGACCAGGGAAGAUGCGUUUCUAUUUUUCAUAUACUGCUGCUGGCAACAUUUGACCUCUCCUUAUAGUGGUAUGCAUCUCUCAUCUUCAGGCAAGUUUCAGGAAGGAGGACUUGAGGACUUUUAACAGAUGAGAUAAGGUUACCCCUCAAGAGUGUGAAGAGCAUAGCUGAAUAAGACUUUGGGUUUAUUGAGGCACAAGUGAAAAGGCGACUGCUUUCCAUUUUUAAUUUGUAUGUGAACAGUGAGUCGAAAAGUAGUUUCACGUUAAAUGUGUAAGUUAAAUGUGAAAUAGAUGAUGUAAGAUCUAAGGAAGUGAAGCAGGAUCCUAAAAUAUAAUAAUUAGGAAAGGCAGAAAACGACAAAGCCAAAAAAUAGAGCAGGAUGUGUUAACAGUGUCCCAAACUCUGACAAUGAUGCAGUUAUACAAUGACAUAAGGAUAGGUCAGAGUUCACAUAAAUACCUUGAAUGUAGUAGUAGAACCAGGUAAUGCCUCAAGGCCCUUUGCAAGUUAGUGAAUGUUUCCAUAAACUAUGUAAUACUUGGGUUGUCCAUAUAAUAAGGUUCUCAAGGAGCUGCAGUCGCAACGAACGCUGUUACAUGGGAUCCGGCGACACUGGCAUGUAGCUUGGUUCUUUUCUCUUAGUCGCCCCCCCGGUGAGCUGUCUGCGACGCUCAGCCUUGGCUUGGUAGCCGAUAGAGAUGGAGCUUCCACUCGCUUCUCCUGCCAGGUGCGAAUUAUGCUCUGUGAUUCGUUUUUUGUGUGCAAAAAACACUGCACUGGUGGACAUUCAUUCCCAACUGUGUGAAGUCUAUGAAGAAAAGUGUAUGAGCGUACAGCACGUGCG